rnacentral:rRNA from 1 species
AAUGAACGUUGGCGGCGUGCUUAACACAUGCAAGUCGAGCGUGAAAACCCUUCGGGGUGAGUAAAGCGGCGGACUGGUGUGGAACGCGUGAGAAUCUGCCCUUUAGUGAAGAAUACCACCGGGAAACUGGUGUUAAUGCUGCAUACGUCCCUCCGGGGAGAAAAGUAGCUUUAUGCUGCUGCUGAAGGAUGAGCUCGCGUACUAUUAGCUAGUUGGUAGGGUAAAGGCCUACCAAGGCGAUGAUGGUUAUCCGGCCUGAGAGGGUGUACGGACACAUUGGGACUGAGAUACGGCCCAGACUCCUACGGGAGGCAGCAGUGAGGAAUACUGCGCAAUGGACGAAAGUCUGACGCAGCGACGCCGCGUGGAGGAUGAAGGUCUUCGGAUCGUAAACUCCUGUUAAGUGGGAAGAAAUACCGGUUUAACCGGGGAGUGACGGUACCACUAGAGAAAGCACCGGCUAACUUCGUGCCAGCAGCCGCGGUAAUACGAGGGGUGCAAACGUUAUUCGG